AAUGAAUGUGGCUCGUCUGAACUUCUCUCAUGGAACUCAUGAGUACCACGCGGAGACCAUCAAGAAUGUGCGCACAGCCACGGAAAGCUUUGCUUCUGACCCCAUCCUCUACCGGCCCGUUGCUGUGGCUCUAGACACUAAAGGACCUGAGAUCCGAACUGGGCUCAUCAAGGGCAGCGGCACUGCAGAGGUGGAGCUGAAGAAGGGAGCCACUCUCAAAAUCACACUGGAUAAUGCCUACAUGGAAAAGUGUGACGAGAACAUCCUAUGGCUGGACUACAAGAACAUCUGCAAGGUGGUGGAAGUGGGCAGCAAGAUCUACGUGGAUGAUGGGCUUAUUUCUCUCCAGGUGAAGCAGAAAGGUACGUAUGGGAGCUGGAGUCCAAUUGUCUAAAACCAUCUUUUGUCUCUAAAGUUCCUUGACACAAGGAAGAUGGGAAGGUUGGUUGCCUGGCAGUGAGAUUGAGUCUGUGUGUUCUCAGGAAUCCCUUUUAUAACUCAUUUAUCCUCAAAGACAGGCUUAAUCCA
rnacentral:sRNA from 1 species